rnacentral:rRNA from 1 species
UACGUAGGGGGCAAGCGUUAUCCGGAAUUACUGGGUGUAAAGGGUGAGUAGGCGGUUAAAUAAGCCAUAUGUGAAAGUCUGUAGCUCAACUAUAGAAUUGCAUAAGGAACUGUGUAACUAGAGUGCAGGAGAGGUAAGUGGAAUUCCUAGUGUAGCGGUGAAAUGCGUAGAUAUUAGGAGGAACACCAGUGGCGAAGGCGACCUACUGGACUGAAACUGACGCUGAGACACGAAAGCGUGGGGAGCAAACAGG